CAAGCUCUGGCGUUCCUGCUUGAUACCUUAAGACCAGAAAGUGGAGCAUAUGAUCAAGACUUCAGUCUUGCUGCCCAAGAGAGCACCCCUUACCUGCCAGACUCUGAGUUCCCUUGCCCAGAACCUGGAAGGCUCCAUACAUACUUGAGAGGUGAUGGGACUAUGGAAAUCAGGAGUUCUACUCACCUCACAUCCAGACACAGUAUGGUUCUCCACUCCUGCCCUAAUGCUCAGGUCCCUUUCAUCCAAAAGUGUGUGUUGUGGGUGGAGGUGAUGGUGUAAUUGCCACAGACUACGAUGUAAAUGGCAGAGUCAUGCCAUGUGGUGGCCCUGGUCUUGAAAGACAUUGAAGAGUUUGCCAUUUAGAGAGGGCAGAAGUGGCCAGGCUUGCCAAACAGAGAGCAGUGUGUGGGAAGGCCGAGGGCUUUGACGUGUCAUGAAGAGAAGUUCAACUGCAUGGGGCGCCUGGGGGUGUGAGGGGAUAACUGGAUGUGGCUGGAUUGUGAAAGGCCUUGAAGACCGCGUGAAGGAGGACUGUGGGAAGUCAAAAGCAGGGGUGAGCAAGGGAAGAGAGCAAGAAAUGGGCAAAGCCAGGACCAGGCCCUGACAGAGGAUGAGCAAUCACCCACCAAGAUGGGGUGAACUGGUCCAGCAGAGAAUUAGAAGCACAUCCUUGAGGAGAUCACAGCCAGAUUCAUCAGAUGCCCUCAGCCCCGGGCCCUGGCCAGCCCAGACAUCCCCAGUCAGAGCAACUGGAUUGCCAGGGCUGUACUUCCUGCCCUAGCUGUACGUUUUCCCCUGGUGUGGCUGAGAGUGGAUAGCGAACAGGAGACCUACGGUUUCCAAAGAAAAGGGUGCAGCUGAGGCUAAACCAAGAAAGGAAGUGGCAGCACUUUGCUGAGAAGAGCUGGUCCGCAGCUGCUUGACUCAGAGCUGCCAGCUCAGUUCACAGCCGACAGACAGCCCUGGGUGGAGGAUGAGCUUGGGCGACGAAAGCCUGUGUCCACGUCCCAGCUCCACCACCUCCUAGGGAUGGGCAAGCUGCUUAACCUCUGGAGGCCUCCGUUUUCUCAUGUGUAAGAUGAGGACAGUGGUAGUCCCUACCUCGUAGGGCUACAAGAAGAGAAAAUGACAUAUUGCAGAGAGCACAAAUAAGAGUGAAUUAUCAUUGUUAACUUUUCCUUCUCUUUUCAUCUUCAUGGGACUCAGACCCACUAUGUGCAUUUAUAUUAGAAGCGGAGAGGAAAGGGGUAUUGAGUCUCCUACCGAGUCUCUGCCUGAGGCUUCCCGCUAAUGACCCUCUUAAUCUCCCCGGCCCCACAAGGAGUGCAGUUAAGAUCUCUCACUGGCAGGGAAGCUGUAACUCAGAGAAGCUGAGUCUCUCGUGUAAGAUCCUCAGCUAACUGGAGGCAGAAAAAGAAUUCUGUUCAUCCCCCAAAUUCCUGCCCAUUUCAUCAGUCAGGGUACGAGGAACCCCGAGAGAGGGAGGCUGGAAAGGAUUUUAACGAGGCAGGAUCGCAUGGGGGGCAGGAGAGUUGGGGCGGCGUUCCCAUACGACACAUCCUACCCGCUCUCUAACAGGGCUUAGCCGUCUCCUGUACAAAGUGGAGACGGGGCAGCCCAGCAGGAGAGCGGCGUGCGCGUGCGUGUGACUGGGGGAGCGCCAUCUGACUGGUGGUGCCUCAUUUCACAAGUGCAUUAUUUCCUGACAGUCCUCUGUACCUUUAUUAUGGUUGAUGCUUCAAAUGCUCAAGCACAAAGGAAGGUGGCAAGUCAGGAGUCUCCUGUCACAGUUGGAAAUUUGAAGACAUUGGUCUGUAUUUAUUUGUUUAUUGUCUGCCUUCUAUGUGCCAGAUACUGGGCCU
rnacentral:lncRNA from 1 species